rnacentral:lncRNA from 1 species
AUUGAUUCUUGGUGGGAAGAGUAGAGUGAGCGAAUCGGAUAACGGGUCGGCACAUGAAUCGAAACCCGAAAAUCGAACGAAGAAAGCUUUGAUCUUCAGAAGACUUUGAUCGCCGGAACGAAAGUCGUAAUAAUCCUCAGAUCUUCACAUAAUUUUGUAGUUCCUUUUGGAAUGAAGAUGACUUUUAAUGGAUUCAUAUUCAUAUAUGAAUAUAGAAAUGGGAUUUAGUCGGCGCCGCCGGAAGAGGAGACGUCGGUUUUGGAGAGUGAAACGAGUGGAAAGCACACGGUAUUUGGUGUUGACGUGGAGAAGAAGACAAAAAGAUCUGCGGCUUGUCGGAUUAGACUAGAGUUGCAGACCUGACUUUUGGUGGAGUUAAUUAUCUAGUACUUUGCGCAGUAGAGAAAGAAAAUGGUUCUUUGGUUUGAUGAGAAUGGACGGU